rnacentral:tRNA from 1 species
UUUUUCUUGGUGUAACGUCACGAAAAGAUUUGAGCUUUUAGGAGGAGUAGUUUCCAGGGAGAC